UAGUAUUUGCAGGAAGCUAUGGCAUUAAACAGUUUUGAAAUAAUUUAAAACUGUGUGGGUUUAUCUACGCUGUGGAUGUUAAUUGACUUCACAGUCACAUCCUUUCCCACAGCAAACUCCAGGAGUCUGUGGGCAGGGCUAGGACUGUCUAGAGAUUUCUUACCACUCUUACCAAAAUAAAACCUCCGGGAUUCUUUGUGGGAAUCCAGGGGAAUUAAAAAGGACCUGAAAAGAUACAGAAUCGCACUAUGUUCUUCUUUUAAAGGUCAGUUACACAAGUAGACUGUGUGGGGGUGGGGGUGGGGCAGAAGGAAGAGGGAACCAUGGCAUCAGAGGCAGUGUCAGGCUGGAAGGUGGGGGGGGGGGAACCUGAGCAAGAUGCUUUCCAGGGGGUCUCCCACGCUCACCCUCUCUCCCUGCCUCACCAUGAUGUGCUCUCUUCCCUGGCCUCUUCCUUCCUGCCACCUGAGAGAGGGAGAAAGUGAACAAGUCCCUCCCACUAUCUGGUAAGUGGGCAGGGGGAGGCAAAAGGCUCACGUUUCCCCCCCUUUCUUACCAGAAAGAAAAGAACAAGGGUCUCCUUCCCUUCCCUUCCCUUCCCUUCCCUUCCCUUCCCUUCCCUUCCAUCCCAUCCUCUAGCUAACUAGGCAAUCUGCAGGAAGGAAUUCAACAUUGCACCCUUCUGAUCAUUCCGGCAGCACAAGCAUUUAUUUCUUCUUGCCAGACAGAACGAUUCCCACUUUCCUCCCUCAACUUGCUAUUCUGAGGGUUCUCCAGAUCUUGUUUUUGGAAGACACAGGGGACGGGAUGUAAGGAGCAGCAGCAAAGCCCUGUUGUGUUACCAAGAGCCCUUGUUCUGGCUUCUGUUGGCGCACCAGGUUAGUUGAAGUUGCUUCAAAACUUUUCCCCCAAAGAUUUUUGGGCACCAGCACAUGCAACUAUCUGCAAAACGUUAAAGAAAGCAACAAAGAUCGGUUCCUUCCUGCUCAUGCACCUCCCAAUUGGUCCCGCAAUUUUCUUUCAAAAUAAAAGUGGCCAAGUUAACCCCAUGGGAUUCUACCAGCUGAAAAUCUGGGUAUAUUCUGGGCUUGUUUCUGACUAAAUUGAGCUAAUUCCCCUUCUCAUGGAUAUAGUCGUACCUUGGAAGUCGAAUGGAAUCCAUUCCGGAAGUCCAUUUGACUUCCAAAAUGUUUGGAAAUCAAAGCCGCAGAAGUGGCGCCGGACGUUCAGCUUCCAAAAAUCAUUCGAAAACCGGAACACUCACUUCCAGGUUUUGAUUGUUCAGGAGCCGAUUUGUUCAGGAGCCAAGGCAUUCAAGAUCCAAGGUACAAUUGUAUUGAGCAGGAGAAGACAAAGGAGGUGCCUGUUUUUAGCAGCAGGAAGAGCAGUAUGGCAUGCUGGGGUGUGUGCAUGCAUGUGUGUAGGGAAGGGAGUUGUGUUCCCACCGUAGCCUUCCUGUCCCUCACCUCCUGCCUCCGUGUGAGGUAGGUAGUCCUCAUGCAGACUCCUCUUUCCACGUGCAGAUUCACUCUUGCUGGACUUUGAGCCAACUCGUUUAGGCUUGAGCUGAAGUUUUAUAUGUGUUGGCAUGAUCUUGGCUACUGAAUCAAACCUGUGGUUGUUGGAUUGUUGGAAGUGGGCAUCUGAAGAGCAGUUAACUGGGGUUAAGGGUAAGGGUUGUACAUGCUACAUUGUGUGUGAUAAAUAAUGGGACUGAUGGGGGCAGUAAGUGGAAUUACAAUAUUCAAUGGGCCAGAAGAUUUUGGGGGGCGGGGGGCGGUUUCCAGGUAGGAAUUGGAAGCAUGCAAAUGUUUAAGGUUUUAACUAUUUGUUUUUAUUAUUAAUCCCAAAGGACCAGGACCAUUGGUUUUCUGUCAAAAAGAAAAUGUGUUCCUUAUAACCUUCUGCAUUUUAUGGUCUUCUCAUCUGCAUUCCAAAGGUAGCUGUCUUAGAGUCCUGAGACUGAGGCGUAAUAUUUCUCCAUGACAAUGAAACUACGUUCUUGGAAUGUUUCUGUGUCUUCUCAUUUCUGAUGCUGUGACCAAGAUUUUAGUUUGGGACAUUACACACCAAGACCACCGUGUUACCUACCAUGCAAGCAAACAUGGAUGCAUCUUUUGUAUAAAGCUUCAAAAAGAUUAGACAUCUUUUGAUUAAUUAAAAAGGAGUGCCUGAUUAACUGG
rnacentral:lncRNA from 1 species